rnacentral:tRNA from 1 species
GGGGCCGUAGUCUAGCCAGGAAUGACACUGAGAACGCGGUCCACCCGCCUCUCAGCACCUAGACGGGCUCCAGACCCGUAGGUCGUGGGUUCAAAUCCCACCGGCCCCACCA